UGCGGCCGGGCCGUACCACUGGCAGCGCGGCAGGGGCGGCCGGCCAGGCCCCGCUGGGCGCAGGCCUAUGGAGGGCGGAACCCUGGAGCCCCCAGGGGAGGGCACGGCACAGCCUCCUGCCCCCAACAGGAUUCCUCACAUCCCAGGACCAGCUGGAAAAGGUGGUGAGAGUUGGAAAGAGACUGCUCAGUGAGGACUGCCCUGCGAACCAGCUUGGAUUCAUCCCGUUCACCUCCACGUUCUGCACGCGGGGCCGAGGGAAGGGAGGCAGCCCAGGCCGCUAGAGAACUUGAUGAAACACACUCAAUCUGAAUCUCGCUUGAUCGUCAUGCUGACCCAGUGAGACUCCCUAAUGGACCUGAGGAACAGUAACAACACUACAACUAAGCCAAAAGGAGAAAGGCCGACACUUACUGACUCGCUGCCACUUGGAGACCCAGCUGUCCUCUGGACUCAUCAUUGCAAUGAUUCUAGGGAGGGAAAAGAAAUGGAGAGUCAGCCUGAGCCUCCCUGGGCCUGAGCUCAAUUCUGAGAGAGGAAUCUAGGAAAAAGCCAAGUACUGAGUCUCCACUGGAAAGCUGGAAAAACUGCCUUCUGAUGUUGGGAUGAGGCUGACUCAAAGCUAGGACUGACAAAAGUUCUUCAUUCUUAUGUCCUUGGCCUGCCAGCCACAGGUCAGUUUCCAUCCCCAAAAGAUUAUCUCACUCGGCUCACAAACAUCCUUAGCCUAACAUUCCCUAGAAAAUGAGACGGCUUUAGGACUAGGGGUCCAAUAGUUACAACUAACACAACUACAAGGGGUCUAGGGCCUAGUGCAAAGAGGAGGGUGAGUCAAAACAACAGAUCCUCCUACUAGAAAGGAGUUCAACUUGGCUAAACUUUUCCUCUUAAUGACCUAUACAUAUAGGGACCCCUCUAAUGACCUAUACAUGUGGGGUUCCCUUCUCAGAACCUCAUCAGUAAGCUGAGACUCAAAGGUUGAGAUAAUACAUGAAAAACACCUAGCACAAAGACUAGCACAGAGUAGGUGCUAAAUAAGCAUUAGCUCUCCUCAUUAUCCUAAUAGUCCUUCCCAGGUAGCUGUGAUUCCAGAGGAAUGGUAAGGCUAUUCAAGGGCUAGAAGAUGCUGCUUGAGCAAGAUGGGUAAGCAUUUUUGUUAUUCAAUGCAUUCAAUCAAAUGCUUACUGCCUGCCUAUUGUGUGGGUGUAAGCACUGACAUUUGUUGACUGCCUCAAUAUGCCUCCCCUCUUCUCUCAACAAUCUUGGAUUCUUAUUUGAGAAGAUUCCCUUCCCAUCCAAAUCCUACAUUCUCAGCCAUGCGCUGUUAAGUGGAACCGACCCUACCUCCAGGGGUGACAAGCAGAACACUAGCCCCCAGCCCUGCAGCCUGAUGGGAGAUAGGCAUGUAUGCAGGCCAUCCUCAUGACCACAAGUAUAUUCUUCUCUGUCCUUCGCAAUCUAUCUUUUUAGCCUUAGGGUCCCUACAGCCCAACCUUAUGAUUUAACCUAAACAGAAUUCCCACUGUUCUCCAAAAACAUCCCGGUUUUCCCCAUCCUAAGCCUUUGCUCUAGUCACUCCCUUUAUUUGGAAUGUUCUCUGUCUCACCUCAACUUCCUCAAAAAUCCCAAACUUCUUGCCUUAAGAGGAAAGUACUACCUCUUCCAAUUCUGGUUGAGGUCAUCUAGCCCUCUUCCGAUCUUUAAUUUGCCCACUCUUUAAGACCUAAUAUGCACUAGAAUUAUACAAAUAAUUCCUACAACCUAACAACAAAAAAACCAAACUGAAGUAAAAAAUGAGCAAAGGCCUUGAAUAGGCAUUUCUCCAAAGAUAUACAAAUGGCUAUAAGCACAUAAGAGGCUCAACAUCACCAUUCAUUGGGGGAAAUGGGACACCAAAGUCACACCCAUCAGGAUGGCUAUUAUUAAUAAAUAAUAAGUGUUGGUGAGGAUGGGGAGAAAUUAGAACCUUUGGGCACUGUUGGCGGGAAUGGAAAAUGGUGCAGUUGCUAAACAGUAUGACAGUUCCUCAAAAAAUUAAACACUGAACUAUCAUAUGAUCUAGCAAUUUCACCUGUGGAUAUACAGAUGAUCCCUGACUUACCUUAGUUCAACUUAUGAUUUUUCAAAUUUAUGACUGUGCAAAAGUGACAUGCAUUCAAUAGAAAUCGUUUUCAAAUUUUAAAUUUUGUCCUUUUCCAGACUAGCAAUUCAGUACAAUAUUCUGUCAUGAUGCUGCGCAGCAGCCAUGAGCCACAGCUUCUGGUCAGCCACAGCAACAUAAGCGUUCUGAGCACAUUUAAAGUAGGCUAACUUAUUAUAUUCAGUAGGUUGGGUGUGUUAAAUGCACUUUUGGCUUAUAUUUUCAACUUAUGAUGGGCUUAUUAGGUUGUAACUCCUCGGAAGUUGAGGAGCAUCUGUACUGAAAAUAAUGAAAAGCAGGGACUUGAACACAUAUUUGUAUACCAAUGUUCACAGCAGUAUUACUCACAAAUAGCCAAAAGGGAGAAACAACCCAAGAGAUCAUUGAUGAAUGAAUGGGCAGCAGAACAUGCUAUACACAUACAAGGGAAUAUUAUUCAGCUCAAAAAAGGAGGGAAGUUCUGUUGCAUACUACAAUAUGAAUGAACCUUGAAGACAUUAUGUUAAGUGAAAGAAGCUACAAAAUGCUACUGAAUGAGCCCAUAGGUACCUAAGGGUGCCUAAGGUGGCUAAAUUCAUAGAGACAAAGCAUGGUGGUUGUCAGGGACAGGAGGGAGGAGAGAAUGAGGAGCUAGUGUUUAAUGGGUACAGAUGAAAAAAGUUCUGGAGAUGGAUGGUGGUGACGGUUGCACAACAAUGAGUAUGCACUAAUGCCACUGAAUUGUGUAUUUAGAAAUGGCGACCGGGCACAGUGGCUCAUGCCUGUAAUCCCAGCACUUUGGGAGGCUGAGACGGGAGGAUCACCUGAGGUCAGGAGUUCGAGACCAGCCUGGCCAGCAUGGCAAAACCCUGUCUCUACUAAAAAAGUACAAAAAUUAGCUGGGCGUGGCGGUGGGCGCCUGUAAUCCCAGCUACUCAGGAGGCUGAGGCAGGAGGCGGAGGUUGCAGUGAGCUGAGAUCGUGCCAUUGCAGCCGGGCGCUGUGGCUCACUCCUGUAAUCCCAGCACUUUGGGAGGCCGAGGCUGGUGGAUCACGAGGUCAGCAGUUCAAGACCAGUCUGACCAACAUGGUGAAACCCCGUAUCUACUAAAAAUACAAAAAUUAGCUGGGUAUGGUGGCAGGUGCCUGUAAUCCCAGCUACUCAGGAGGCUGAGGCAGAGAACUGCUUGAACCUGGGAGGUGGAGGUUGCAGUGAGCCGAGAUUGCGCCACUGCACUCCAGCCUGGGCGACAGAGCGAGACUCCAUCUCAAAUAAAUAAAUAAAUAAAUAAAUAAGUAAAAUGGCUAAAAUGGGCCGGGCAUGGUGACUCAUACUUGUAAUCCCAGCACUAUGAGAGGCCAAGGUGGGCAGAUCACCUGAGGUCAGGAGUUUGAGACCAGCCUGGCCAACAUGGUGAAACCCCGUCUCUACUAAAGAUAUAAAAAUUAGCUGGGAAAAAUCUCAGCUACUAAAGAGGCUGAGGCAGGAGAAUUGCUUGAACCCAGGAGGCAGAGGUUGCCGUGAGCCGAGACUGCGCCAUUGCACUCCAACCUGAGUGGCAAGGGCGAAAAGUCUGUCCAAAAAAAAAAAAAAAAAGCAACAGCUUUUGGGCAAUGAUCUACCAUUACUACACCUCCCUUCCCUUCAUUUUCAAAAAAAAUUUUCAUGCAUUUAACAAACAUUAUUAAGAUUACAUUCUUUCUUCUCAUGUUAAGUCUUUGAAAUCUGGGGUAUAUUUUAUAUUUAAAAGCAUGUCUUAAUUUGGACUAGACACAUUUCAAGUGCUCAGUAGCUACACGUGGAUAGUGGUCACUGUAUUAGAUGCAUAGCACUAGUAUGUCCCAAAAUAACUGUUGAGGCUGGACACAGUGGCUUACACCUAUAAUCCCAGCACUCUGGGAGGUUGAAGUCAGAGGAUCAUUCCACGCUGCAGUGAGCUAUGAUCAUGCCACUGCACUCCAGCCUGAGCCACAGAGCAAAACCCUGAUUAAAAAAAAAAAAAAAAAAAACCCACACAAAAUAACCCCCAAAAACGAAUGGCUGGGCCCAACUAGGAUUAACACUUGCCCUGCAUUUACUUCUCUGGGUGCAGGUUGGGUAAUGCAGAAGUGAAUGAUGGAAACUGAAGCGGCUUACCCAUCAAAGGAAGAGCUAGUGCAGUCAUAUACCAUCUCUCGGUUACCCUUCAUUUGUAGAUAUGCAUCACAAUUGUCACAACCAUCAUAUUCAAACUGGUCUAUAGUCUGGGAGUGAAAGAAAAAUAAAGAAAAAGGAGAGAUAAACAUGAACAAGACCAAGAGAAAAAGUAGCUUUCUCAAUACUUCGACCUGCUCAAUUUCUUGUUUCCCUAUGUUGACUUUGUAUCCUAAGGUUCCCCACCUACUACUCUCAAAGCUCCAUUCCUAAGUCCCACCCUCCCACUCCUUCCUCUCUUGUUGCCAGUUCCGUUUUAUCUAUUCCUUUCUCUAGUCUACUCAGGGUCAGGCAUCCUUUCCGACUACUCACUCAGCAGUGGAUCCCCACCCGCCUCUGACUCCCAGUGUCUUUCGGCUCCAACGUAAGUUCACCGAACGUCUAAGAGCUGAGGAUUCAAAGGCAUGUAAGACCGCCCCUGCCCUCAGCUGCAAGACCUGUCCGCGAUCCUACGAGCCCCAUUCCGCCCUCUUUCCCCGACCUUGGUCCCCCAUGGGCCCUACAACCAGGUCCCCGACUGACACCUUGACCAGCGAACACAGCAAACAGGCCCGCAGAUGCCGCAGGUCCUUCGGCACCGUCUCCAGGGCCAUCUUCGCCGAUGGGAAGAACAACAGAGAGCUAGACGACCACAGCCUGUGCACCCGCAGGAAAAGCAUUGGGGGCAGUGAAUCCACUGUCUCCGUCUGGAUUGUCUCUGCAGAGACCGAGAAGAAAUCCAGGGACAGCCCCACCCCUCCUUCCUAACUGCGAGAGCGCUAUAGGGUUUCCACUUGCUUCCCACAGGAAUGCUGGCCUGGGAGCUACGGCGGAAGAAAAUGCGUAUUUAUCUUUUAAAACUCCGUCUGUUUGCUCGUUCCGGCUGAGAAUUUAUACUUUGCGCAGUUCUUAGCGCUUAGACACGGUUCCUUUACUAAAGACCAUUUGUAGGAGAUUAGGUGUCCUUUUUUUCCCUUUCAUUUCACCGUCUAGGAAGCGAAAUGCCUUGUUCUAUAGGCACCAAACCACCACCCCUACCAAACCUUUCUCGGGGAAGCAGAAGGGGAACUUGUGCCUUGUGAGGAAGCGACAAAGGCCCCUUCUGGCCCUGGAGACUUCACGCCAAUGGAGCACCAGCUCUCUGUCCUCGCAAUAGCCCGAGUGCAGGCAGAACGCAGUCAUUUGUGUUUAUCUGAGAGGAGCUUUGGGAUAUAAAUAGUUUCAGGCCCCGCUGCUCUGUCAUUCCAGCCCAGCCUCCUGACUGAGCUGCUUCCGGGCGGGCUUGCUUCUUGUUGGCGGUCCCAUGCUGUGUUCAGACGGGCUCUGUGACAGGUUUGGAUGUUUUCUAUCACUGAAUAAAACUUUCCACUUUGGAACAUAUUUUCUACACUCUAUUAUCUCAUGUAAGUCCUGCAACAACUAUUAAGUAGGCCCAUUUUAUGGACUGAAAAAGCGAGGCACAGAGUAUUUGCCCAAGGUCUAAGUCACUGAAGUAUGAUAAUGUGUGAAGUGAACAGUAUAAUAAUAUGACUGAAGCACAGUAAGAAUCCAGUCAUGCUUUCUCCUUCCCUGAUCUCACUAAGCCACACUUUUAGGGGCUUACAAACCAGUUCUUAUUGCCAAGCCCUCUACUCUACCCUAUCCUUUCAUGAAUCGGAGCCUAGCCUCUGAUAACAGAAAUAAUUUACUUCUCUUGAUGUAGAAAGAGAUGACGUUGUUACCCUGAGUGACAGUCACGACAGAACAAAACCACAAGACCAGACCACAUUUGUGGAUAAAUAUAUUAGCAAAUAAAUAUAUUUCUUAACAUAGUGCCUGA